rnacentral:tRNA from 1 species
AUAGUUUACUAAUUAGCUCGUCAGGCUCAUAACCUGAAGGUCCCUGGUUCAAAUCCAGGU